CGAAAGCAUGGGGAGCGAACAGGAUUAGAUACCCUGGUAGUCCAUGCCGUAAACGUUGGGCACUAGGUGUGGGGGACAUUCCACGUUUUCCGCGCCGUAGCUAACGCAUUAAGUGCCCCGCCUGGGGAGUACGGCCGCAAGGCUAAAACUCAAAGGAAUUGACGGGGGCCCGCACAAGCGGCGGAGCAUGCGGAUUAAUUCGAUGCAACGCGAAGAACCUUACCAAGGCUUGACAUGAACCGGAAAGGCCCAGAGAUGGGUCCCCCACUUGUGGCCGGUUUACAGGUGGUGCAUGGUUGUCGUCAGCUCGUGUCGUGAGAUGUUGGGUUAAGUCCCGCAACGAGCGCAACCCUCGUUCUAUGUAGCCAGCGCGUGAUGGCGGGGACUCAUAGGAGACUGCCGGGGUCAACUCGGAGGAAGGUGGGGACGACGUCAAAUCAUCAUGCCCCUUAUGUCUUGGGCUUCACGCAUGCUACAAUGGCCGGUACAAAGGGUUGCGAUACUGUGAGGUGGAGCUAAUCCCAAAAAGCCGGUCUCAGUUCGGAUUGGGGUCUGCAACUCGACCCCAUGAAGUCGGAGUCGCUAGUAAUCGCAGAUCAGCAACGCUGCGGUGAAUACGUUCCCGGGCCUUGUACACACCGCCCGUCAAGUCACGAAAGUUGGUAACACCCGAAGCCGGUGGCCUAACCCUUUUGGGGGGGAGCCGUCGAAGGUGGGACUGGCGAUUGGGACUAAGUCGUAACAAGGUAGCCGUA
rnacentral:rRNA from 1 species